rnacentral:tRNA from 1 species
GCCAGAAUAGCUCAGUUGGAAGAGCGUUAGAUUGAAGAUCUACAGGUCAGUGGUUCGAUCCCGGGUUCCGGCA